UACGUAGGGGGCGAGCGUUGUCCGGAAUCAUUGGGCGUAAAGAGCGUGUAGGCGGCUUGGCAAGUCUGACGUGAAAGCCCGCGGCUCAACCGCGGAUUGUCGUUGGAAACUGCCUCGCUAGAGUCCGGAAGAGGAGAGCGGAAUUCCUGGUGUAGCGGUGGAAUGCGCAGAUAUCAGGAAGAACACCCGUGGCGAAGGCGGCUCUCUGGGACGGUACUGACGCUCAGGCGCGAAAGCGUGGGGAGCAAACAGG
rnacentral:rRNA from 1 species